rnacentral:lncRNA from 1 species
AAAGGACAUACAAACUGACAUGUUAUCCGACUUCAAAGCAGAGAGAGAGAAAUCGAUUUUGUAGAGGGUUUCUGGCUUUGAUACAAUUUUAUAGACUGAAAGUAUGGUGGAUUGAGAAGAACCUUUCGAUCUGAAACUGUUCAAGCUUCAACAACGGCGGAUGAAAUUCAAGCAGAGAGAAAGAGAAUUCGGUUUUGGUAAAAAAAACGUGGGGGGAGGGUAAUUAAAAAAGGGGAGAAAAUCGUGGGUUU